AGCAAGCCUUUUGGAUACAGAUGGGAUCAGAACAAACUUCACCCUGGUCCUGUUUCAGUUGCCAGCACUAUUGACGCCCCUACUUUUACUGCCUUAAUGUAGCCGGAUCAAGCCUGAGACAUCGCAAGCCAAAGACAGGGCCCUGGAGGAGGUGAGUGGCCCGAGGCCUCAGGCAGCGGCUCUCAGUGCUGGCAGGCGGCCCACAGACCACAGGGGAACUUGAGAGUAUCGCCUGAGCCAGCCCCACGGCUCCCACCUGCACUCCCCAGGUCUCAUUGGUGAGAGAGUGGCCUGGCGUGGGCAUUUGUCAGACGCCUCUCGUGGGCACUCAGAGGUCCUCAGCCCAGCAGCCAAAUCCUGUGGAGCCUGCCCUUGACCUCCUGCCCUGGGGGCCUGGAGUGUUCUGAAGAUGACACAUCAGAGUUGGCUCAGCCUGAAGUCUGCAUGCCUGUCGGGAGAGUUGGCAGGUGCCCGUGCCCAGAAAUCAAAUCUCUAGGACAAGGAAAUGUUGCUGUUUCUCGUUCUAAAGGAAUGGAAUGUCUCUACACCCCUCCCACCCAUGGAUAGCAUGGUCCCAUCUCCACGCGUGGCCUGGCAGUGCCCUGGGAGGUCGGCUUCUAGCUCUGGAAUGCUCUGUGCACGCUCUCUACGCCACGCCGUCUAGACGGCCUUGACCUUGAGGUGUGUCGGGCACUGCGCUCUUCCGAUCCACACUUGUGCAGACCCAUUCCCGACACUCUGUAGCAUCGUCAGGCACAGACUCUGAGAACAGGAAAGGAAUCUUCGAGCUCGUCAAGGCUGAAUAUAACAGUCCCCUAAGCACCCCAGACUCCUCCCUGGAACCUGUGGUUUGGGUACCUUAUACGGCAAAAGGGGUUUUACAGGCGUGAUUAAGUUGUGGAUUUUCAGGUGGGAAGACUCUCCUGGAUUAUUCGGGGGGGCCCCACAUAGAGUCACAAGAGUCCUCCUAGGACAAGAAGGUCAAAGAAAAAAGGCCACGUGCUGAUGGAAGCCCGGGGGAAGAAAGGGCAAUGUGCUGGGGGCCGCAGUCAAAGAAUUGAGGACAAACUCUAGGCCAUGGAAAAGGUAAGAGAAGGCUUGUCCCCUGGAGCCUUCAGAAGGACCUCAGCACCGCCAACACCUUGACUGUAGCCCCUUGAGACCAUGUCAGACCUCUGACCCCCAGAACUGUAAGAGGAGCAGGUGGUAUUGUUUUAAGCUAUUGUUGGUGGUAAUUUGUUACAGCAGCAAAAGGAAACUAAUACAGAACUCAUUGACCUCAGCCCUCUCUUUUUACAGCUGAGGAGACUGAAGCCCAUUUGUGGUAGAUACUUUCCUUUUUAGUUUGCUAAUUUGUAAGUCGUUUAUGAGAAGGGAAUGAUUUUUCUCCUGCCUCUGUGAAUAAGACCAAGUUUUUUCCUGUAAUUGUCCUGUUGACGAGAGCAGGCCUUAGAAUUUUCAGUUUUAUGGGGUCUGGUUGCUGUAUUGAUUCUAUAGGUUCGAUGGCCAUAUUUUCUUGAAUCAAAAUGAAAGAACUCUGAUCUGAUACGUAUGAGUGGGCUUAUGGGGAUAAUGAGACAGAGGCUAUUCCGUAAAACCAGGGACAAAUAGCCCGCGCUGUAAUACAUGGAGUAGUGGCCAACCCAUGCCUUCCUGGCCGCCAGCUCCCGUCUCACCUCCCACACCCUCUGCCUCCACAGCACAAGGAAGGAAAGGGGGUGGAAAUCUUGACACAGGGUUUUCAGAGGAUGCUGCUGCUGAUUUCUGAACCAGGACAGACUUUGAAAAGUCCUCCUGAGUCUAAAAAACGAAGACUCAUUGCUUCAACCCUUGCAAUAGACAUCCUGGGCGACCUUCACCUCAAACCUCAGAGGAUUUCGAGAUACUACGGAACAUUCUGUGCUUUGUUUAUUUCCCAUCAGUUGGUGGAGAAAUUGAACCAAUGCACUGGUGACAGUGGGAACAGGUCAGUGUAGGCCCUGGAGGGGAAGGAGGGUGCAGAAAAUGUAGCCCUGGAGAUAUUGCAGGAUCGGUUCCAGGCCACCACAAUAAUGCGAAUAUCGCAAUAAAGUGAGUCACAUGGAGUUUUUGGUUUCCCCAUGUAUAUAAAAGUAAUGUUUACACUCUACUGUAAC